rnacentral:rRNA from 1 species
CCUACGGGAGGCAGCAGUGGGGAAUAUUGGACAAUGGGCGAAAGCCUGAUCCAGCCAUGCCGCGUGUGUGAAGAAGGCCUUCGGGUUGUAAAGCACUUUCAGGGGGGAAGAAAGCCUUGGGGCUAAUACCCUCGAGGAAGGACAUCACCCACAGAAGAAGCACCGGCUAACUCCGUGCCAGCAGCCGCGGUAAUACGGAGGGUGCGAGCGUUAAUCGGAAUUACUGGGCGUAAAGCGCGCGUAGGCGGUCUGAUAAGCCGGUUGUGAAAGCCCCGGGCUCAACCUGGGAACGGCAUCCGGAACUGUCAGGCUAGAGUGCAGGAGAGGACGGUAGAAUUCCCGGUGUAGCGGUGAAAUGCGUAGAGAUAGGGAGGAAUACCAGUGGCGAAGGCGGCCUUCUGGACUGACACUGACGCUGAGGUGCGAAAGCGUGGGUAGCAAACAGGAUUAGAUACCCGGGUAGUC